CAGACAUUCCAUCCUCCGGGUGUUUGUCACAGUUCAGCAUCCAAGCUGAAUCUCUAGUUACCAUGGAUGGAGAUGACCUUUCCUGGCUAUGCUAGCCAGCUUUCUGACCUCAAAAAAAACACCAGCAUUUAAGGCCAAGAAUCUGAAUCUUUGAGUUUCCUUCCCCCACACCCAAUCCACCUGCUGAAGCCUAGUGACCAGCUGAACAGAACGGAGAGGUAGAAGAUUCAGGAGGCAACCACAUACAGUGAUCUGGAACAAGAUGGGAGACGUUCUCAUGCUUUAUCUGGAUGCUAGUAUCAAGACAGCCAAGGAGCUGUGUGUGGCCCGUUCUACCAGGAGCAGUGAUAGUGUGUUAGCCCACAGAUAUUGAGGGUCAGAAAAAUAUCAAGAACAGGCAGCUGAUUCUCAGGUGUCAAGCUCAAAAUCAGCAAGAAUCGGGUAGCAGAUGCAGAAGUCUGACUGGGAGCGAGAUCCCUCUCCCCUCUCCACCACGCACUAGGAGUGGAUACUAAAGCCAGAGGAAGGCUGACAACAUGAGGUGUUUCACAAAGGACAACAGGACGACAAGAGCUACCCUCAUCAUACAGAGAUCAAAAAGUAACCAGACGACAUGAGAGCCCUUCCCAACUCCAGCUAAGUGUCAGUGAGAAGGGACAAGUCGCAGCAGGGCUUUUCCCUGAGUUUGUGUGGAAGGAACAAGAACCGUUCUCUCUAUCAGGAACAACAGAUAACCAGAGCCAGAAAGAACACUUCUGUUAUCAGAAUGAUGCUCUACCACACACAUCUAUCUGAUCUUGACCACUAGAAUGAAGCUCACCCUCACUGUCAAGUGCCAGGUUUGAGAGCAGGGCAUCCGAACUGGCCUUUCAAUCCUAGGGCCCUCUUCCCUACUGUUUCCAAACCAACUAAGCCAAAACUGUAGUUCUGGUGAGGCUGUUGAGAAGACUCAGAGGUUAAAAGUACUUGCUGCUCUAUGGAGGACUCAGGUUCAGUUCCCAACACCCAUAUGAUCGCUCAUGAUCAUCUACAACUCCUGUUGCAGUGACUCUAGUGCCCUCUUCUGGCCUCUACAGGCUUCUGCAUGCCCGUGGUGCAUAUAAACUCAUACAGGAGAAUACACAUAUACAUAAAGUAAGUAUCAGAUGGACAUGUGGUAGAAGCCUUUAAUCCAAGCAAACCGAGAUAUAAAGGCAGGUGGGGUGGAUCUCUGUGAGUUUGAGGCCAGCCUACUCUAAACAAUGAAUUCCAGGCCAGUCACAGCUACAUAAUGAUUCUCCCUCCCUCCUUUCCCCUCCCUCCAUCCCUCCCUCUCUGUUUCUAUCUCUGUCUCUCUCUGUCUCUUUCUCUAUGCGUGUAUAUCUGUCUGUCUGUCUCCUUCCUCUCUCCCUCCCUUCCUUCUCCUCUCCUCUCCUCUC
rnacentral:lncRNA from 1 species